AGUGAACGCUGGCGGUAGGCCUAACACAUGCCAGUCGAACGGCAGCACAGUAAGAUCUUGCUCUUACGGGUGGCGAGUGGCGGACGGGUGAGGAAUACAUCGGAAUCUACUUUUUCGUGGGGGAUAACGUAGGGAAACUUACGCUACUACCGCAUACGUCCUACGGCUGAAAGCAGGGGAUCUUCGGACCUUUCGCGAUUGAAUGAGCCGAUGUCGGAUUAGCUAGUUGGCGGGGUAAAGGCCCACCAAGGCGACGAUCCGUAGCUGGUCUGAGAGGAUGAUCAGCCACACUGGAACUGAGACACGGUCCAGACUCCUACGGGAGGCAGCAGUAGGGAAUAUUGGACAAUGGGCGCAAGCCUGAUCCAGCCAUACCGCGUGGGUGAAGAAGGCCUUCGGGUUGUAAAGCCCUUUUGUUGGGAAAGAAAAGCAGCAGGUUAAUACCCCGCUGUUCUGACGGUACCCAAAGAAUAAGCACCGGCUAACUUCGUG
rnacentral:rRNA from 1 species